CUUGUGGCCGUGCGUAUGUUGCGGCCUGCAGGUGCGGCACACAGGUGCAUGCUGCGCGUGCGCGGCCAUCAGGUGUUGUGCCCCUACAGGUGCGGUGGGCGGCUCAUGAGCAGGCAGCUACAGGACGCCUUCCUUAAGAUCAGGCUGACACCUCAUCAGCGAAGGAGGUGUGAGGCCAUCAAGCAUCAAAAUGAACAUAUGCAGCAACCAUGUGUAGCAGCUAACACAAGGAAGUCGAAUGCAAUAGGAGUACCAUGUGCAGUAGUUAACAUAAGAAGGUUUAAUGUAGCAAUAUGCGUAUCUAUAGGAGUGGUGCAUAUAGUAUAUAUCUAUGUUAACUAGUAAGAGCAACAUCUGGUAGUAAGAUGUGUAGUAAGAACAUUAGUCAUUUACAUGUCUAAGUUAGUAUCAGAUCUGCUAAUGCAGUAGGAACUGCAAUACUAUAUAAUUGCUUAUGCAAAAGAGCUAGAUUGCUUAUGUAAAAUGACUGAAUUGCUUAUGCAAAAGUAAUUAAUUACUCAUAAGUUAGGAUCAUAUCUGCUUAUGGUGUAGGAACAACAGAUAUCAAGUGAUGCAAAAGAACUGAAUUGCUUCUAGUAAUAGAUGUGGUUGGUGAUGCAAAAGAACUGAAUUGCUUCUCGUAACAGAUCUGUCUGGUUCUUUUUUUUAUCAUUGUGUAAUUCUAGUGUCAGAGAAGAAGUUGGUUAUCUGCAGUUGAUAGUAUCAAUUUGCAUAUUUUAUACGUACCUACUGUUUUGAAUAUAUUGUUCUGCUUUUGUUU